UACGGGAGGCAGUAGUGGGGAAUAUUGCACAAUGGGCGAAAGCCUGAUGCAGCUAUGCCGCGUGUAUGAAGAAGGCCUUAGGGUUGUAAAGUACUUUCAUCGGGGAGGAAAAAACAAAACUAAUAAUUUUAUUUCUUGACGUUACCCGAAAAAGAAGCACCGGCUAACUCCGUGCCAGCAGCCGCGGUAAUACGGAGGGUGCUAGCGUUAAUCAGAAUUACUGGGCGUAAAGAGCACGUAGGUGGUUUUUUUAAAGUCAGAUGUGAAAUCCCUGGGCUUAACCUAGGAACUGCAUUUUGAAACUGAAAUACUAGAGUAUCGUAGAGGGAGGUAGAAUUCUAGGUGUAGCGGUGAAAUGCGUAGAUAUCUGGAGGAAUACCUGUGGCGAAAGCGGCCUCCUAAACGAAUACUGACACUGAGGGUGCGAAAGCGUGGGGAGCAAACGAGGGAUUAGAUACC
rnacentral:rRNA from 1 species